UACGAGGGGGGCGAGCGUUGUUCGGAAUUAUUGGGCGUAAAGGGUGCGUAGGCGGUUUGGUAAGUCUGAUGUGAAAUCUAUGGGCUCAACUCAUAGUCUGCAUCGGAAACUGCCGGACUUGAGUAUGGGAGAGGUGAGUGGAAUUCCUGGUGUAGCGGUGAAAUGCGCAGAUAUCAGGAGGAACACCGAUGGCGAAGGCAGGUCUCUGGGCAUUAACUGACGCUGAGGAGCGAAAGCAUGGGGAGCGAACAGG
rnacentral:rRNA from 1 species